rnacentral:rRNA from 1 species
UACAGAGGUGGCAAGCGUUGUUCGGAAUUACUGGGCGUAAAGGGCGCGUAGGCGGCCUUCUAAGUCAGACGUGAAAUCCCCCGGCUUAACCUGGGAACUGCGUCUGAUACUGGAAGGCUUGAGUGCGGGAGAGGGAUGUGGAAUUCCAGGUGUAGCGGUGAAAUUCGUAGAUAUUCGGAAGAACACCAGUGGCGAAGGCGGCUCACUGGUCCGGUACUGACGCUGAGGUGCGAAAGCGUGGGGAGCAAACAGG